UCCGAGUUGACCCCGGCAGUCUUCGAUGAGUCCCCAGCCACCCGAAGGUGCUGCUGGCAACAUCGAACGAGGGUUGCGCUCGUUGCGGGACUUAACCCAACAUCUCACGACACGAGCUGACGACAACCAUGCACCACCUGUACACCGACCCAAAGGGGGGCACCAUCUCUGGCGCUUUCCGGUGUAUGUCAAGCCUUGGUAAGGUUCUUCGCGUUGCGUCGAAUUAAGCCACAUGCUCCGCUGCUUGUGCGGGCCCCCGUCAAUUCCUUUGAGUUUUAGCCUUGCGGCCGUACUCCCCAGGCGGGGCACUUAAUGCGUUAGCUGCGGCACAGACGACGUGGAAUGUCGCCCACACCUAGUGCCCAUCGUUUACGGCGUGGACUAC
rnacentral:misc_RNA from 1 species